UACGAAGGGGGCUAGCGUUGCUCGGAAUUACUGGGCGUAAAGGGCGCGUAGGCGGAUACUUAAGUUAGAGGUGAAAGCCCAGGGCUCAACCCUGGAACAGCCUUUAAUACUGGGUAUCUUGAGUUCGGGAGAGGUGAGUGGAACUCCGAGUGUAGAGGUGAAAUUCGUAGAUAUUCGGAAGAACACCAGUGGCGAAGGCGGCUCACUGGCCCGGUACUGACGCUGAGGUGCGAAAGCGUGGGGAGCAAACAGG
rnacentral:rRNA from 1 species